rnacentral:rRNA from 1 species
UUAACGACGGGCCAGAAGGCUCGGUUAUACGUAGGGUGCAAGCAUUAUCCGGAGUGACUGGUAGGAAAGAGUUGCGUAGGCGGUUCGUAAAGGUAAUAGUGAAAGCUGGUGGCUCAACCAGACAGACUAUUAUUCAAACUCACGAACUCGAGAAUGGUAGAGGUAACUGGAAUUUCUUGUGUAGGAGUGAAAUCCGUAGAUAUAAGAAGGAACACCAAUGGCGUAGGCAGGUUACUGGACCAUUUCUGACGCUAAGGCACGAAAGCGUGGGGAGCGAACCGGAUUAGAUACCCUGGUAGUC